GCUUGCAUUUAGGCAAAGCAGCUGUGUGUCAACAGAGCAAUGGUCUGGGAACUCAGACUCCCAGAUUUGAAUCCAGCUCCGGAACUUGUGAAAUUGUGAGAUCUCAGACAAGAUCUAGGCCCUCUAAUUCACGUUUCUGACCACGUGACAGGUGUUCAUUCAUUCAAUGCUCAUCACACACUUAUGCGAUGAUUUGUUUCCUCUCCCUAUUCCUCAGGUGGAGGAACGGAGGCACAGAGAUGAAUGUGACCAGGUUCAUGAACUCCUCUAAGUAAAGGAGCCAGGAGGUGAACCCAGGCCUGCAGACCAGUGCUCGUGCUCUAACUUCUGAACAGAACUUCACUUAUGACUCAGCCAUGGGAUCAGUAGUUACUGUGCAAAGAAGCUUUAGCAUCUGCGUGGAUGGCAGGAAUUCCCUGAGCCAAGGGGAAUCCCAAACACUGUUUGCCAUUAUGAGAGUCUACCAGGGGUGUGGUGGAGGACCUUGGCAAGAAAGCACUGUGGCCCAACACAUCCAGGGUGGCCCCAUGACCAUGUGGAAGUGAUGCCUUGGAGGAAGACAUCGAUCCCAUCAAAGGAGACAGCUCUGGAUGCACACCUCUUGCCAUGGUGACCCCAGCAACCAGCGAGAGUGAUGUGACUGAUGAUGGCGCUGUCUAGUCCUGGCAUUUUCAGAGUGUUAUGGAGGAGGAGGGGCUGCCUCUUGCCAAGGUGA